GGGCGAUUAGCUCAGCUGGGAGAGCGGGUGCCUUACAAGCACUAGGUCGGCGGUUCGAACCCGUCAUCGCCCAAAG
rnacentral:tRNA from 2 species